rnacentral:rRNA from 1 species
CUUGCUCCGGAUGUUAGCGGCGGACGGGUGAGUAACACGUGGGUAACCUGCCUGUAAGACUGGGAUAACUCCGGGAAACCGGAGCUAAUACCGGAUAGUUCCUUGAACCGCAUGGUUCAAGGAUGAAAGACGGUUUCGGCUGUCACUUACAGAUGGACCCGCGGCGCAUUAGCUAGUUGGUGAGGUAACGGCUCACCAAGGCGACGAUGCGUAGCCGACCUGAGAGGGUGAUCGGCCACACUGGGACUGAGACACGGCCCAGACUCCUACGGGAGGCAGCAGUAGGGAAUCUUCCGCAAUGGACGAAAGUCUGACGGAGCAACGCCGCGUGAGUGAUGAAGGUUUUCGGAUCGUAAAGCUCUGUUGUUAGGGAAGAACAAGUGCAAGAGUAACUGCUUGCACCUUGACGGUACCUAACCAGAAAGCCACGGCUAACUACGUGCCAGCAGCCGCGGUAAUACGUAGGUGGCAAGCGUUGUCCGGAAUUAUUGGGCGUAAAGGGCUCGCAGGCGGUUUCUUAAGUCUGAUGUGAAAGCCCCCGGCUCAACCGGGGAGGGUCAUUGGAAACUGGGAAACUUGAGUGCAGAAGAGGAGAGUGGAAUUCCACGUGUAGCGGUGAAAUGCGUAGAGAUGUGGAGGAACACCAGUGGCGAAGGCGACUCUCUGGUCUGUAACUGACGCUGAGGAGCGAAAGCGUGGGGAGCGAACAGGAUUAGAUACCCUGGUAGUCCACGCCGUAAACGAUGAGUGCUAAGUGUUAGGGGGUUUCCGCCCCUUAGUGCUGCAGCUAACGCAUUAAGCACUCCGCCUGGGGAGUACGGUCGCAAGACUGAAACUCAAAGGAAUUGACGGGGGCCCGCACAAGCGGUGGAGCAUGUGGUUUAAUUCGAAGCAACGCGAAGAACCUUACCAGGUCUUGACAUCCUCUGACAACCCUAGAGAUAGGGCUUUCCCUUCGGGGACAGAGUGACAGGUGGUGCAUGGUUGUCGUCAGCUCGUGUCGUGAGAUGUUGGGUUAAGUCCCGCAACGAGCGCAACCCUUGAUCUUAGUUGCCAGCAUUCAGUUGGGCACUCUAAGGUGACUGCCGGUGACAAACCGGAGGAAGGUGGGGAUGACGUCAAAUCAUCAUGCCCCUUAUGACCUGGGCUACACACGUGCUACAAUGGACAGAACAAAGGGCUGCGAGACCGCAAGGUUUAGCCAAUCCCACAAAUCUGUUCUCAGUUCGGAUCGCAGUCUGCAACUCGACUGCGUGAAGCUGGAAUCGCUAGUAAUCGCGGAUCAGCAUGCC